CCUGGUACUGAAGUAUUUAUAUCAUGCUAUUUAUUUAUUUAUUUAUCUAUUUAUUUAUUGGUUUGUGUGAUGUGAAGAUGGUGUGUGCGUGUGUGUGUGUGUGUGUGAGUGUGCACGUGUUGGUGUGUAGUGUACAUACAGACUUGUGUGACUGUAAAUAAACGAUGGGGCUCAAACACACAGUCUAUUUCAGGGCUUAAAGUAACAAACAACCACUGGACUACAACACCCACAAUCCUCCUCUGCCUGCACCUCUACACCCCCACGCCCUCCCUUUCCACACUUCAUCUGCUACUGUCCUCCUCUGCCUGGACUAGAACUCCUCAAAGCACCCUUUGUUUGGACUACAACUCCUCAAACCGCACUGUGUUUGGACUACAACUCCUCAAAGCACCCUUUGUUUGGACUACAACUCCUCAAACCACCCUUUGUUUGGACUACAACUCCUCAAAGCACCCUUUGUUUGGACUACAACUCCUCAAACCGCACUGUGUUUGGACUACAACUCCUCAAAGCACCCUUUGUUUGGACUACAACUCCUCAAACCACCCUUUGUUUGGACUACAACUCCUCAAACCACCCUUUGUUUGGACUACAACUCCUCAAACCGCACUGUGUUUGGACUACAACUCCUAAAACCACCCUUUGUUUUGACUACAACUCCUCAAACCGCAUUGUGUUUGUACUGCAACUCCCUGUCUUUCCCCCUGCUUCCACUAAAGCACCCACAAUCCUCCUUGGUUUUGACUGCAACAACUUUAUGCUGGACUACAUGACCCACAAUCCUCUGUCUUGACCUAAACGCACACAAUCCUUCUUGGCUGAACACUGAACUGCCCUCAUAUGGACUACAGCUCCCAUAAUCCCCUCCUGAUGGACAGUUUGGAUUGAAACACUUCCAUUUUUAAGCAAAAACGUCUGGACUGCAGCACCAACACUUCCCAGUUGUGGUGAUGGAUAAACUCCACCCACAAAUGUCUACAGCACAGAAGGACUACAUUACCCACAAGUCUCAGCUGAUCCAGGCCACACAUGCUGCCUGUGGGUCUGUGCUUGACUACAAUACCCAUGAUUCCCUGCUCAGAUGGCAGGGUGGAGACUGUGAAAUUACCCUGCUGAGGGGAAGGCGGAGCUAAAGCUUGAGGUUGGGGUAGCAUCAGGGGGCGGGGCAUGUGUCCCGCUCACAGGACUCUGUUACCCACAGUGCUUUGGGUGUAGAUGGGUUCCAGCGGGGUUUCCCAGACUGAAUAUCAGGGUCGUGUGAAUAAUAAUAAUUAUUAUAAUGAAAGUAAUCCUACUUAUAGAUGAUGUAAUAUCAUCACACAUACACACACACACACACACACUCAUUUAUGCACACACACACACACACACACACACACACACACACACACACACACACACACACACACACACUCACACAGAGUUGAGAUAGUUUGAUGAGCGGCUCGUUGUAUAAUGACAUGAAUUAGUUAUAAAUGAAACUCUUGAAAUAUUGAAAUAAAUUCCUUAUAAAAGCUG
ensembl:lncRNA